rfam:Stegodyphus mimosarum contig33362, whole genome shotgun sequence.
GCCUUCGUGGUGUAGUGGUCAGCACGCUCGGCGCGUAUUCGAGAGGUCCGUGGUUCAAGUCCCGGCGAGGGCA